rnacentral:rRNA from 1 species
CACGUAGGGCGCAAGCGUUGUCCGGAAUUAUUGGGCGUAAAGAGCUCGUAGGCGGUCUGUUGCGUCCGCUGUGAAAUCUCGAGGCUCAACUUCGAGCUGUCGGUGGAAACUGUCUGGCUAGAGUCCGGAAGAGGAGAAUGGAAUUCCUGGUGUAGCGGUGAAAUGCGCAGAUAUCAGGAAGAACACCCGUGGCGAAGGCGGUUCUCUGGGACGGUACUGACGCUGAGACGCGAAAGCGUGGGGAGCGAACAGG